AGCAGCAGCCAUAUCACUCUGCAACUCACAACUAGCAACCCCACUGAAGCUAAGCAGGUGUGAGCUUGGUCAGUACCUGGAUGGGAGACCUCCUGGGAAAAACUAAGGUUGCUGUUG
ensembl:rRNA 5S_rRNA 5S ribosomal RNA